GGCGGAGGGGCGGGGGGCGUCGCGGGGGAGGCGGGCCGGUACCUGCGCUGGAAAUCCUGCUCGAAGGGGGCCAGCACUGGUGAAGCCACAUCUGGAGUACUGGGUUCAGUUUUGGGCCCCCACUUCUGCAGACAAAUUGAAGAGAGUCCAGCAGAGGGCAACAAAAAGGGAGAAAAAAAAUCACAGUGCAAUGUGCUCAUGAUUCAUGCUAAUGAUUACUUCCUUGUGUCAUGAUAUUACAUCAUUUCAUGGUGCAGCAUUCUCUAACUUUGGAGUCCCCAAAAAAUUACUGCCUGUCAUCGACGCUGCACAACAGGGAAAAGCCCCGGGGGAGAGGGAGCUGGGCACCGCUGAUGCUGCCUGUCAGGUAGGUGAGUAAUUCUGGGGGGCUGCACACACAGCAUGCUGCCUCUGGCCACAGGAAAGUUGAACAACCCUGUCAAGAUUACAUUUGUGACAUUAGGGAUGCUUCAAAAGUUUUUUUUUUUUUCCUUUUGGUUUUCACCCCUAACAGUUUUACUUGUUUUUCUCUAUAAAAAAAGCUGUUAUGGUAAGUAGUACAAUAGCUAGAUGCAACCACAUUCCCGGUCUCUCUCUUUUUUCAAAUAGCAUAUGACACAACCUUUAGUAAAAUAUAGCUAUAGCUUUAGUUACAUCAUACCAAUUAAAUACUUGUCAUCAAAUAACAACACAAGACCAUAUCAAGGACAUUUACAACAUUUUUACUAUACUAUAUUGGUCCACUGAAACAAGCAGGCAGUUGCAGGCAACUCUUCCUUUUGCUAGCAUCUUCAGUUAAAUUUAGUCAGGAAUUGAAUGCAAGAAUGUAUUAUCUCUAUCACAAAGACUAAGCUACCAGCAUUUGCUCUUUUCAGUGCAGUUCUUUCAGUUACCAAUAGUCUUAUUUCUCAGAGUACAGGGAAUGCCUUCUAUGUUGUAGACACAUUAUUUGAUUUCUCAAACUGUUCAGUUUAGAGUCCUCUUGACAAGUGAAAGUUUAAGUCCAAUUUCCUGAUGAAGAUUUUUAACACCUACAUAAUUCCAAAACAGUCUUUUUUGGACUCUUUUAAUAUAUAGCAAGUUAGCAAAAAGUUCUCAUUUGCAUGGGUUCAGGUAGUUCAGUACAUUGAUGUUAUGCCAGAUCCGAAACUACUUAACUGCCACACAGGCUAAAAUUUAUCAUUAUUUUUGUACUUAUCUGCCAUCACGAGAUAUUUCUUGUGUUUCCAGAUCCUUUGCAGCCCUUGGAAAAAAAACAUCAGAAAUUGAAUUAAAUUUUUUAAAAUGCCUCUUUCAAGUUGCUAUUUAAACCAGUAAAUGUUCUGACAUAUGCAUCUUCAUGCAUUUAACUGGCUGGUUUAGGUCUUUGUGUAUGAUACACUUAUAUUCAUUAUUUCCUUUCAUCUUUCUUCUGGUCUAAUCCUUCAAGUAAUCCCUACCACAAGGCUUUCCUUGAAUCAGAUGAGCCCUACUCAUUUGAGAGGACUUGUAAGCUGACUAUGUAAUUAAUAAAGUUGUGUUUUAACAGAUGAACUUGGUUCCUUAGAUUCUAAAGAGUUUCUGUCCCCAGAAAACUGAAGUAUUGUCCUAACUUCUAAACUGCUUACAGAAGAUGGCAGUAUAUAGUUGCUACCCAGCAACUUCCCUAAAGGAUGACUGGUUACUACUUCUUUCUGAAAAACUCAGCAUGUCUUCAGUUAUAUUUUGUCUCUAAAACAAUUGACCUUUCAAGUUUUAUGACUGACAGAGGCUGCUACUUCAAAUGAACUCCCUUGGAAAGUCCCACUCUACUCAGCAUCAAGAAGCUGUGAAUCUUGGACCACAUACUCUACUUAAUAAAAGCACUUCAACAGCAUCCACUUACAUUGCCUUCACCUCAUUCUAGGAAUUUCCUGGUGGCACAAAGUUGCCCACGCUCAGGUGCCCACAUUCUGAGAAUCCAUUCUCUUCUCAGUCAACAUUAGUUUUGAUGGCUCAGUCAUAUGCGGAGAAUGGAUGAUGGACAUAUACCCAAGGAUCUCUUGUAUGGAGAACUCUUUAGAGGAAGAACACCAUGUGAUGUCUCCAUUAAGAUGUCCUUAUCUCCAUUUCAAAGAUGUUUGCAAGAGUGAUAUGAAAGCAAAGAACAAAUGACUAGGAGAAGAUUGAUGAGAAUCACAGAGCUUGGAAACAGCCUAUUAAGUAUGGGAUGAAGGCUUUUGAAGAAAAAAAGAGCCCAACAUGCAGAGGAAAGAAGAGAACUCAGCAAGAACCCUGCACUACAUUCAAGAUUGUUAGAUAUGAACUUCAUAUGAUAAGUGCAGUAGGGACUGUCUUUCAGGAAUUGGACUCUACAGCUGCACUUACAGAUGUUCAAUGAGCUGAUACCUCACUCAGCACAAAUCUUUUGUCUCACAAGACAGAUGCAUGCUACUGCUGCUACUACUACUAUUAUUGUGUGUCUUUAUGCUGUUUUGUCUCUAUAAUCAUAACAGACCUUAUGGUUAAUUAGAGAGAACACCCAUCAACAACAAAAUACAGACUUAGAAAAAUAAAUGGUAGAAAAAGAAGAGUUUACUAGUUACACCAUUGAGGAGAAGCCAUCAGAAUAAUCAAAGUAAUCAGCCAUCAGAAGAAUGGUAUCCUACAAUUUUCUUACUUCCAUCUUAUGGAGCAUGCACUGUCAUUAGACUUCCAUGUUUCUCAUCAUGCCUUGUCAGAAUUUAGGGCUACCUUAGUGGCUUAUAUUUCCCACUUUCUCUCACUUCCUUAUUUCUCCAGGAGAUUGACUGUAAUGGCCAUAUUACACUGAGAGCUGAAAAAAUGUUGAUCGGUGUUAGUACUAGCUCAGGUUUGGAACAGUCACAUGUUUAGACCAGCAGAGACCUGGAGGACUGAAAGGUGAGAACCCACCCCUCCCAUUCUGGGCUUCUCACCUGGCCCCUACCCUCUAGGGCUCCACCUAUUCCUCUCUCCCUGGGGCUCCCCACUCUCCCCCAGGCACACAAUCAUGCAAGCAGUGUAGUGGCAGCUAGAAGUCAACACUGCCCUAUACAUCCUGCUGUCCCAGAUGCUCAGCUGCCUUUGUUAUUACCACAUAAUGGGAGAAAAUCAGAGGCAUAUUUCCUGGCCUUCUGAGAGUCUUAUAAGUCUGAUAUCACAUAAGUGUUUUAUUUUGAAGUAUGUGAACAGCACAGAAUCUCGGGAGGAGGGGGGGGGGAAGGAGGAGGAGACUGCAAAAGGGAACUAGCCAAACUCUGUAACCUCUAGGAGCAGCUGUAAAAGUAAGCAAAGCAGGGCCCUUCAGGUAUUUAGGCUGCCUAUACACAUGCUCUUUGGCAUUCUAAUUAGAAUAUGUUGGUGAAGACUUGAAUAAUUGAGUCUGCUCCAUGUUCUAAUUAAAAUGCUCCAAUGUCACUACAGUGUCACAUGGAUAAAGCCACGAGCAUUUUAAAAUGGCUGGGGGCGCUUGAUCUAAACCACAUUGAAUGAGGUUUAGGUAAAGCAUCCCAUGGCCAUUUUUAAGUGUGCAGGGGCUUAAUACAUGUGAUGGUAAGGCAUUUUAGUUAGAGCAGCUGUCCAGGAGCUGUUCCUCACUGCCAAGUAUGUGUAUAGGCAGCCAUAGAGCUCUUGGUACAAUUUUAACUAGCUUUUCUGUAAUUUGUUUGCUUUCUCCCUCUUGGACUUUUCACUUCCACUUCACUUUGUACCUGCUCUUCUUUCCCUCUUGUGACAGCUGAAAAUGAUGUCUGUGUGAUAAAGGUGCUUGCUGAAGGCUCUAUGAAGAUUAGACCAAGUGUUUUUUUCUGUAUUUGUUUAGAUAUUAAGCUAUAUGUUGUUGAUAAGAGCCUAAUUAAAGUUUAAAAUGUAGUAAAGCCUUGUAUGAAGUAAGGCCUAGUAAAUUUAGCAAUACUUUAAAGUAGUAAGGUCCCGUGGAAUAGUUAAAAUUAACCUUAUCAAAAGAAUGCAAGGCUUGUACUGCUAUUGGUCAGGCUAAGGACAGUUGAAGUAAAAAGAAUGAGUGCUUGUAUGUUAUCAGUACCAUUCAGAAGCUAUAAAUUGGCUGGAAUAUCUGGAAAUCAUUCUGAAGGAAGAUACAGCUCUGCGAAAAGGAUUAGUUAGCUGCUGGCCUGGAUGAGUGGGCCUAUGGACCUCAAGGAGCCCAAGGAUUGAAUACCAGGGUUCUUCCCAGUACUCCUCGGACAGCGCUGAUUGGGGACACCUGACUUCGCUGAGCUUUGCAGAAGAGAAACUUGUUGUACAUCAGGCAUCAGAGGGGACUGCCAAUAAGUUGCCGAUGUGAAUUAUUAUUGUCUGUCUGUUGUUUUGUUAUCGGUGUCUAGUCGUGUUUUUGUUAAGUCAAUAAACCUCUUACCUUUCUACCCUCUGCCACACACUCAAUCCCAAACCCUCCGCAGGUGGCUGGGACACCUCUUCUCUACCGCCUAGUUCUCCCUACAUUUCUCUUCAAUAUCUCCGUUUCCAUUUAACUUUUCUUUCCUUGUUGUAUAUCCUCUUCUAAUUUCUUUGUUUUAAACCACUUCCCACCUCUAAAAGGUUGAUCUAGCAGAUUGUUCAUUCUACUAGCUUGUUACAUACCAUUUUUCUACCCUGCGAUUGUCUACUUUUCUCUUCCCAUUCUCCCACACUGUCUACUUUUCUUAUUGGUCCCUACAUAUUACCAUCAUGAAUAUGACUAAUAACAUAUACUUUUUCAUCCAGGCAGUCCAUUUUUCUUUAGUGUCCCACCCCCAUUUUAUUAGAUGUUAAUAUGCAGUCUACCACCUUUAUAUUUCUUUCAAAGGAAUUUGGAACCACUCAAAUACCUGAAACACAUGGCUAACUGUUAAGCCUGCGAGUAGUCCCAUUGACUACCAUGAAAUUACUCUGAUACUGAAAUUCACACAUGUAACUUACUGUUUAGCUAGAUCAAUGCUUUGUCAGCUUUUCCUGUUUGCUUUUGCAUUUAUUUUAGACCUCAUCUAGGAUAUAGAAGCUAAUUGAAAUGAUGGUGCCUCCAAGUCCUGUAGUGUUUCAUGCCAUCUGUUUCAAAAGAUGAAACUUUUGGACUGCUGUUGCUAUAUUAGUUGGUCACCUUUUUAAUAUGAACUGAACAUUGAGUAUGAUGUAAUUAUUUAAUGUACUGUAUUUUAAUUAAUAUAAUUAAAUUACAUUAAAUGAUACAAAAUAAAACACACCAUGCUAUACACAAAAAUA